rnacentral:lncRNA from 1 species
UUCUUUUUUUUUUGAGCUGGGGACCGAACCCAGGGCCUUGCGCUUCCUAGGUAAGCGCUCUACCACUGAGCUAAAUCCCCAGCCCAACUUUUAGUAUUUCAAAGCCAGCUUUAAUUUGGAACAGCAACACCAUCCAUAAAAUCCAGAACAAGUUCUCUUGUUAGGAACUUUCCAUAUGUUAUGAUUUGGUCACAAGUUGAUAGUUGUUACAUAUCAGUUUCCAUUUCUCCAUUAGAAAAUUAGGUAAUUGAUGGAUUCUUUGAACAGAAGCAUCACUACUUAUUAAAAAGUUAGAUAUAUAUAGAAUGCUUUUAAGGCAAAAUCCAGGUUUUCUAGGUUAUUUUUAUCCACAUUUAUUGAUUAAAUAGGGAAGGAAUUUUAUUCAAAGCUUUAAAUACUAGUCAGUUGACAUUUUUUUUAAAAAAAUAUCUGUUGUAAUUAUAAAAACACUAGAGAUCUUUUUGCUAGUUAGAUGAUUGCUUUCAUGUACACAUCUAAAGCUACUAUAUAGUACAUUUAUUCAUUGCAUUUAUUAAUCUUGUUACUAGCAAGUCUGACAGCUUGGAAAGAGGGGUAUUUUUGUUUGUUUGUUUGUUUGUUUUUAAAGUAGACUUGAGCUGGUGACUUAUGCUGCACAUGGUCUGUACAAGUGCUGCUUAAAGUUUCACAUGUUCAGACCCCUGUUUUUCAGAGGCACGGAUUAGUCCAUGUAGACAUGGCCCCUUUGAGAUUGUAGCAUAUGCCCACUUAAGUUAGUAUGCUUAAACUUUAAAAUAUCUUAGUUCUUGUCUUAAUAGUAACAUCUUUACAGAUUUCCAGCAACAUUUUGUAGGAAACACCUGCUCCUCAAAGCACAAGUUUUACUUAUUUGAGUCAUUGUAACCAGAAAACAUAGCAGCAUUUAUUUUAUUGCAGAUUUUCAGAGUAGGCUUAAUAUGAAGAAGUUGUUUAAUUAGUUCUGUCUGGUACCUGUGAAUUUCCUUUCAGGAUCACUAUGUCAAGAGCUAAACGUAAACUUUCUGUUUGUUGAAAAUAACAAUUUAGUUUCAUGUACAUUUCCUAAAGGAUAAAAGCAAUCAAGUGGGAACCCCUUUAUAUGUUUCUUGGUUUCCCUUUUUCAUUAUCCUAAGAUAAUGCUACUUUAAGAUUUUUGAAUGUUUUAGAUAUCAUGUGAGGUUUUUAUUUGAUAAACCUGCUGAGUCAUUUGCUAGGAAUCUAAAUGACAAAGUUGGGGAAGUUAGUAUAGUAAUUUCAAGAGUGGAUAAAAUGGCUUGAAUGCUAUUAAAUGCAAAUGGUACCAGUUGAAGGUUUUGGGACAUUUCCAGCUUGGAUUAAAGGGAGGGUAUAGUUAUUAGUGGGAUACUGUUUGGGGUGCUGUGAGAUCUUAAAUGUACCGGCAGGUUCAAUAGUUCAUUUUAUUCAGUUCAAGAUAACGUCAUUUGCAGAGUUAUGAAUGUAUUUGGUUUAUUUUUGGUAUGGGUUUGGAGAGAUGAUUGAGCAUUCCUCCUGAUUGUUAUUUUUAUAAUUACUGGAGAUGACUGAUGAAAUAGAAAAAAAAUGUUAUACUGAGUUUGCAAGUGAAGUGUAAGUAUUCUGUGUUGAAAUUUAAAAAAAAAUGUCUUAAGAGCAUUAUUAGCAGGUGGAAGAAACCAGGUAUUAAAAUUUAAAAAUGUGAAGCUGCACGAACCUUACUUAAUGUUGACUUUAAAGGUAAGAAAAGACAUUGUAGGCAUAUCUGUGGACAAGCUGUCAGACAUUGAGCUAACUGGUAUAGUAUCCCAAUGAUACAUGACUUUUGUUUCCCUUACCCUACUACCUUGGUGUGCUGGGUUUCCAUCCACAGCUUUGUUCAUGCUGGGCAAGAUGCUUAGCUAUAACCACAGUAAAGGAAAAGUCCAGGAAAUAUAUUCUACCCCUAACCUUUGUAAUUGUAGAGAAAUUAUUAUGUAAAUAUUAAAUGAAAGUCAUAUCCCAUGUUAUCUAAAAAGACCAGAAGCCAGACUGCUAGUAUGGCUUGAUGAAUAUGUCUACUAGCAAGAAAGUAUUAACCUUACUGAGCAGCCUCAGUAAUUGAUCUGCAAUGGCAAAACCAGUGUCAGGUGACUUGUGGGCUUUUGUUUUAGUUUUUGUUUUUAAGGUUGACUUGAAGUGCUAGGGAUUUGUGUGUCCUGGACACAUGUUCUGUCAUCAAACAUUCUUCAUUUUAAAUUGUUGGGUUUUCUUGGGAUAAGUGGCUGCUUAAGUGUAAGUAGGUUUUGCUAGCUAUGUCUUGAUUGUCUUCAGGCCGGAAUGUAAGAGCUCCUUUAAAAAUAAAGAUUUAUUUACCUCUA